UUUUAACAAUUUUAAAUUUCCCUAGAGCCUGCAACUUUUCAUAAGUCAUAUCCCAUAAAUUAGCUGCAAUUUCACAGUUCCACCACAUAUGUAAGUAGUCUGCCGCAGCUUGAUUGCACCUCCAACAUUUAUUAUCUUUCAUAUAUGAGAACUUAGAAAAUUUUUUAGGAUCCAAAUACCAAAAAUGUAUCACUUUAUAUUGAGUCUCCAUUAGAUUCAAGCAGUGUAUAUCCCGGCUGAAUCUAUUAAUUGCCGCUAACCACUCUUUCUCAGAAAUACAAAUCUGUAAUAUUACAGACCAUUUAUUCAUAUACUUAUUUCUCAUACCUCCAGCUAGACACGAUAUUAAAG